rnacentral:rRNA from 1 species
AUUGAACGCUGGCGGCAGGCCUAACACAUGCAAGUCGGGCGCGCGGCGGACGGGUGAGUAAUGUAUGGGGAUCUGCCUGAUGGAGGGGGAUGAAGACUGGAAACGGUAGCUAAUACCGCCUAAUAUCAGAUGAACCCAUAGGGGAUUAGCUUGUAGGUGAGGUAACGGAUCACCUAGGCGUCGCGCCCUAGCUGGUCUGAGAGGAGGAUCGGCCACACGGGGACGGAGACACGGCCCAGACUCCUACGGGAGGCAGCAGUGGGGAAUAUUGGACAAGGGGCGCAAGUCGGAUGCAGCCAUGCCGCGUGUAUGAAGAAGGCCGUCGGGUUGUAAAGCACUGUCAGCGAGGAGGCGUUACUCGCAGAAGAAGCACCGGCUAACUCCGUGCCAGCAGCCGCGGUAAUUC